UGCAAAGCUUAAUUUUUUCUA
rnacentral:piRNA from 1 species